rnacentral:rRNA from 1 species
AAGGGGUUUGAUUCCAUGGCUCAGAACGAACGCUAGCGGCAUGCCUCAAACAUGCAAGUCGUACGAGAAAGUUCCUUCGGGAACGAGUACAGUGGCGCACGGGUGCGUAACACGUAACUAAUGUCCCCCCUCGCUGGGGAUAACUCCGGGAAACCGGGGCUAAUACCGAAUGAUCUGUGGAGGUCUGCGGACUUCCUCGGUAAAGCCGCAAGGCGCGAGGGGAUCAGGUUGCGUCCGAUUAGCCUGUUGGUGGGGUAACGGCCUACCAAAGCUACAAUCGGUAGCUGGUCUGAGAGGAUGAUCAGCCACACUGGAACUGAAACACGGUCCAGACUCCCACGGGAGGCAGCAGUUGGGAAUAUUGCACAAUGGGCGAAAGCCUGAUGCAGCAAUGCCGCGUGAGGGACGAAGGCCUUCGGGNCGUAAACCUCUUUUAGCAGGGAAAAAUUUGAUGGUACCUGCAGAAAAAGCACCGGCUAACUCCGUUGCCAGCAGCCGCGG